ensembl:lncRNA
CUGAGUUUUUACCUUGCUUAUCAUUAGACCAGAAGAUACAUAGUUGAUUACACUAAAUGUGUGCUGCCUACCUUCUAAUCACUCUUGAACCUUUUAAUACACUUCACAUAUGAAUGUGAAGUCUUCAGGUUUUUUAAUGUCUUGUGAAAGUGCCUAGCCAGGAGAAUGAAGGGCCUAAAUGGGGGCUGUCAUCAUGAGAACACAUGCCCGUGUGUGCAUGUUAGCUAAGCAGGAUGUGCCUAGAUGGCUGCCUGCACUCUCUGUGGCUCAGUGCUGAGAAGCAGUACCAUCAGAGGCACUGGGAAGUCCUGGACUUGACUGUGAUGAAGAGGCUUAGGGUCCCGAGGACUUAAAGCUGUGGGAGAGAGAAUUCCUUCCACUCCAGUGCUCAAAGAAGAAAUCACUUUCUAUGGCAGCUUAAUCUGUUCAUUGCAAUAGCUGAAUAUUGCAAAUAAAAUGUGUCAUCAAUGGAUGUGGAGGAUCCCAUUCUGUAGGGUAAAAUGUAUCUUAUUCUACCUGGGAACCCAAUACUGGCAAGAUACUUAGAUAUGUCUAUGAAUACAAACUUUGCCAGGUCAAGAUUGAUUUAUGUCAAUGGAAGAUAACUCUGUGUAACAUAAACAUCUUUAUUCUUCACUGAAGUUUUCUCCAUGAUGAACAGCCCAAGGUCUCUCAGCCCUUCCUCAUAAGGGAGAUGCUCCAGGACCCUAAUCUUCUUUAUGGCACUUUGCUGAACUCUCUCUAGAAGUUUCCAGUCUUUCUUGAUCUGGGGAGCCCAGAUCUGGACACAGUACCCCAGAUGUGGCCUCAGCAGGGCAGACAAGAGGGGGAGGAUCACCUCUCUUGACCUGCUGACCACUCUCUUUUUAAUGAACCCCAGGAAGGGGUUCAGGAAUAUCACUGGCCUUCUUGAUGACAAGGUCAUACUUACUGGCUUGUGGCCAAUCGGUUGCCCACCAAGACACCAAGGUCCUUCCUCGUAGAGCUCAAUUCAGCAAGUAACCAUGCAAUGGACAGGUUUCUAGGCUUUGAGAAAGCAAACAGGCUUUGAGUCUUGGGAAGUUAUGACUUUGUUCUUAGGUUUGAUUUGCACAGAAGUUUGUGCAAAGACAAUUUCAGUAGAAGAGCUGAAGGGAACUUUAUUCCCAUUAAAGUAAAAUCUUGAUGCAGACUUGCUUCCUUGGAGCUAGACAGUAAUAGUUUGCUAAGAGUGUUUAUGUGAUCCCCCACCAUCACAUUCCAGGGUUCAAAUGAACUGAGAAAAUUACAUGAUGGUAGCUCCAAUAUUACUGAUUUCAUCUCUAUUAGAAACCGCAUAGAAGGAUAUGUCCAGUAGCUCAGCUGAGAAACAAGAACAGUCUCAGAGGAAAAGUUUGUUUCAACAUAUCUGAAUUUAUAAGCAGACUCAUUUGUACCUUCCCAUAUUACUGAAGUUUGCAUAAAAUAGGUGGAUUGACUACAAUCUGUGCUCUACUCCUCUUAUCAUUCAGGCUUUGCACUGUGAUAGUUGAAUACUUCCUGUAUGUACAGAGAGUGGCAUGACAAGGAGCUGCUAGUUUUUAAUUUCACCUUCCAUUGUCCUCUCCCUGAUUAUUGGCACUCAGCUUGCACAGGCAGGGUGAUGCUGCCCCAGUCUUGUACCUGGCUUCCUUGCCUAGUGCUUACAGUAGAAAGUGAGUUUGUGAGAGCUUCAGGUUUGUGCCUCUGACCCAAUUAAUAUUUGUUGACUCAGAAAAGAGACUGAAAGAAAUAAAAUCAUCAACAUACAGUGGUUUCACAUCAUCUGGUGGAUGAUCUGUGCCAUGAAAAAUUACAGGGGAAAUUUGAACCUGGGAGUCUCCAACUCAGGUGAGUCUUCUGUUGGCCAUAUUAUUGUCGAUUUGCCAUUGGCUUUUUCAAAAACAAACAAACAAACAAACAAACAAACAAAACCUAAAACACACAAAACAAAACAAAACAGAAAACCCAACCCUGUGAAAAUUCUUGUGAAAAGCUUGUCACAGUGGAGAAUUGUUUUUGUUGUUGUUGUUUGUUCUUUUGUUUUGUUUAUUUGAGUUUUUUGAGUUUUUUGUAAUCUCAUUUGUCACAAGACAUGAAAUCACUACCCAGGCCAUUAAUUGGACAGAUUUCCAUUCUAUUUUUUCAAACUCCUAUUCAUUCAGUCUAGCUUUUUGUGGAGACAAUCUGAUAUUAGCAUGGACUGAUGGACUUUUCAGAUGCUUCACUUGGAACACGUAAGGCCAAAAAAGAAUUAAAGCAGCAAUGAUAUUAUUUUCCAUUAAGGAAAGUUCACUGCUACAUGGAGUGAAAUAGUCCAGAGUUCAGAAAGAUGAAAGAGGUCAACAAAAGCACUGCUCUUCUGUGACACAACCAGAUUUAAAGAGCCUUUUAUAUGUAUAUGUAUUAUAUUUAUUCAUCUGCUCAUUCUGUCGUUGAGAUAGCAAAGCUUUCAAGAACAGGCACCCUAUGACCUUCAUGGGAGACACAGAGAAACACAGCCUGGGCAAAUACAGACCUAAAGCUGUCUGCUGGCUCAUUAUUAAUACAUUGGGAUUGUCUGGACCUGUGACCUCUUUACUGAAUGCUCCACCCUUCUUUUCUAACUUCUUUUUCUGCCCACGUGUGCAGCAGGAACCUUCCCAGACUUUGCAUAUAUGCAAUCACAGUUGCAGUGUCUUACUUCAGAUUCUGCACCCCAGAGUACCUCACCCACAGGGAUGGGACUCUCUGACAAGACAGUCUGUGCAGGAAAACAGCUUGUGUGUGCCCAGCGUGCAAAUGUUCCCCCCGAGCACAAGGGAUACGAUUUCAUCUGGUAGCCUGUACCAUGUGUAGCUUAGUAGCAAGCCAAAAAUGCAAGAAGACUGUAUCAAUCAUACAGAUAUGUCAGGACAAAAAAAAAAAAAAAAAAGACAAAAGGAAAAAAAAGAGAGGGGAAUUGGAGUACAUUGGAUAAUUUUUCAUUCUUUUUCUCUGUUACUAACAGGCACUAAGCGCAAGUCUAGCAGAUUUAAGUGCUAUAUAAAAAUGAGUAGCAAAUCAAGUGCAGGGAACAAUACAUCUGAAGGAAAAAGACUUCCAGAAGCAGACUUGGGGCUUUUUGUGUGUGAGGCCUGGAAGCAGCUAAUCUCUGCUGAGUAAAGAUAGCCAUUCAGAUCAGAUAAGUCGAAUAGGCUGCCAGAGGAGGAAAACCAGGGAAUCAUUUCAUUGUCAAUACUGGGGAGCCACCAGAUGCUUGGGAUUCCAUAUAUUUGGGGGAUAAAUCUUUCAAAAGCUCCAUUGACACUGGGGUAUGUCAAUAAUUCAACGUAUUAGUUGGAUGCAAAUACUGCACAAUAAGGCAUGGAAAGAAAACUGUAAUUGGGAAUGCUGGGGUGAAGGGGGCUCUAUCUUCUGACUGAGCCCAUUGUUGAACUCCAGGCUGAACCUCCGACCCUUUACUUUGGAGAGACACAAUAGGCUUUGAUAUGAGAUGGUGGGAAACAGUCUUGGAGGCUCAUUUCACAUUCAGCUGCAAUUCAUCAGCUUGGCUGGGACUUCUAGCAGCUUUAAUGACCACUGCAAUUGAUGGUUAAAUCAAUUUGUGACGGUGACAGCAUGGCUGGCCCCUAGACUGUAACAAUCCAGGAUUACAACAGGCAGAAAGGGCCCCCGUUAUUCAGACGUGCGUGGUUUCUGCUCAGCUCUGAGUGGGAACAACAGUGGGACAAAGUCUCACAAGACCGGGCCUGGAGAAUGUACAGAUUCACUCCAGUUGACUACACACCACCGCUU